rnacentral:rRNA from 1 species
CGUGCUUACACAUGCAAGUCGAGCGAUGAACACCUUCGGGUGUGAAUUAGCGGCGAACGGGUGAGGAACACGUGAGAAAUCUGCCUUCAACACUGGGAUAACUCCGGGAAACCGGGGCUAAUACCGGAUAUGAGAUCUACAGGCAUCUGUGGAUCUGGAAAGUUUUUCGGUUGAAGAUGAUCUCGCGGCCUAUCAGCUAGUUGGUGAGGUAAUGGCUCACCAAGGCGACGACGGGUAGCCGGCCUGAGAGGGCGACCGGCCACACUGGGACUGAGACACGGCCCAGACUCCUACGGGAGGCAGCAGUGGGGAAUAUUGGGCAAUGGAGGAAACUCUGACCCAGCGACGCCGCGUGCGGGAUGAAGGCCUUCGGGUUGUAAACCGCUUUCAGCAGGGAAGAAGCGAAAGUGACGGUACCUGCAGAAGAAGCACCGGCUAACUAUGUGCCAGCAGCCGCGGUAAUACAUAGGGUGCAAGCGUUGUCCGGAAUUAUUGGGCGUAAAGAGCUCGUAGGUGGUUCGUCACGUCGGAUGUGAAAAUCUGGGGCUUAACCCCAGACCUGCAUUCGAUACGGGCGAGCUUGAGUAUGGUAGGGGAGUCUGGAAUUCCUGGUGUAGCGGUGGAAUGCGCAGAUAUCAGGAGGAACACCAAUGGCGAAGGCAGGACUCUGGGCCAUUACUGACACUGAGGAGCGAAAGCGUGGGGAGCGAACAGGAUUAGAUACCCUGGUAGUCCACGCCGUAAACGGUGGGCACUAGUUGUGGGGACCUUCCACGGUCUCUGCGACGCGGCUAACGCAUUAAGUGCCCCGCCUGGGGAGUACGAUCGCAAGAUUAAAACUCAAAUGAAUUGAC